rnacentral:rRNA from 1 species
CCUACGGGAGGCAGCAGUGAGGAAUAUUGGUCAAUGGGCGCGAGCCUGAACCAGCCAAGUAGCGUGAAGGAUGACUGCCCUACGGGUUGUAAACUUCUUUUAUAAAGGAAUAAAGUGCGGCACGUGUGCCUUUUUGUAUGUACUUUAUGAAUAAGGAUCGGCUAACUCCGUGCCAGCAGCCGCGGUAAUCCGGAGGAUCCGAGCGUUAUCCGGAUUUAUUGGGGUUAAAGGGAGCGUAGAUGGGUGGUGAAGGCAGUUGUGAAAGUUUGCGGCUUAACCGUAAAAUUGCAAUUGAUACUGGUAGCCUUGAGUACAGUUGAGGUAGGCGGAAUUCGUGGUGUAGCGGUGAAAUGCUUAGAUAUCACGAAGAACUCCGAUUGCGAAGGCAGCCUACUAAGCUGCAACUGACAUUGAUGCUCGAAAGUGUGGGGAGCAAACAGGAUUAGAUACCCUAGUAGUC